rnacentral:rRNA from 1 species
GGUCAAGUUACUAAGAGCGCAUGGUGGAUGCCUUGGCAUUAGGAGCCGAUGAAGGACGUCGUAGCCUGCGAAAUGCCUCGGGGAGCUGGCAAACGAGCUGUGAUCCGAGGAUGUCCGAAUGGGGAAACCCGGCUGGAGUCAUGUCCAGUCACCCUUGCCUGAACACAUAGGGCAAGUGGAGGGAACGUGGGGAAGUGAAACAUCUCAGUACCCACAGGAAGAGAAAGCAACCGCGAUUCCGUGAGUAGUGGCGAGCGAAAGCGGAAGAGGCUAAACCGGUCAUGUGUGAUAGCUGUCAGGCGUUGCAUGGUCGGGGUCGUGGGACCACCGAGCCGAGACUGACAUCUCGGCAGAGAGUCAAAAACCGUUGUCAUAGUCGAAGGGCAUGCGAAAGGCCCGGCACAGAGGGUAAGACCCCCGUAGACGAAAUGACAGCGGCUCUCCGGUGUGUUCCCAAGUAGCACGGGGCCCGAGAAAUCCCGUGUGAAUCUGGCAGGACCACCUGCUAAGCCUAAAUACUCCCUAAUGACCGAUAGCGGACAAGUACCGUGAGGGAAAGGUGAAAAGUACCCCGGGAGGGGAGUGAAAUAGUACCUGAAACCAUGUGCUUACAAACCGUGGGAGCGUCGCUGGGCACUUGUGCCCAGUCGUGACCGCGUGCCUUUUGAAGAAUGAGCCUGCGAGUUAGUGGUGUGUGGCGAGGUUAACCCGUGUGGGGAAGCCGUAGCGAAAGCGAGUCCGACAAGGGCGAAUGAGUCGCACGCUCUAGACCCGAAGCGGAGUGAUCUAUCCAUGGGCAGGUUGAAGCGCGGGUAAGACCGCGUGGAGGACCGAACCCACCAGGGUUGAAAACCUGGGGGAUGACCUGUGGAUAGGGGUGAAAGGCCAAUCAAACUCCGUGAUAGCUGGUUCUCCCCGAAAUGCAUUUAGGUGCAGCGUUGCGUGUUUCUUGCCGGAGGUAGAGCACUGGAUGGGCUAGGGGGCCUACAAGCUUACUGAACUCAGCCAAACUCCGAAUGCCGGUAAGUGAGAGCGCAGCAGUGAGACUGCGGGGGAUAAGCUCCGUAGUCGAAAGGGAAACAACCCAGACCACCGGCUAAGGCCCCUAAGCGUAUGCUAAGUGGGAAAGGAUGUGGAGUUGCACAGACAACCAGGAGGUUGGCUUAGAAGCAGCCACCCUUGAAAGAGUGCGUAAUAGCUCACUGGUCAAGUGAUUCCGCGCCGACAAUGUAGCGGGGCUCAAGCAUACCGCCGAAGCCGUGGCAUUCACGCUGAUAACCAGGCCCCUCUGGGGUCCAGGUGCGUGGAUGGGUAGGGGAGCGUCGUGUGGCGAGAGAAGCGGCGGAGUGAUCCAGCCGUGGACGCCACACGAGUGAGAAUGCAGGCAUGAGUAGCGAAAGAGGGGCGAGAAACCCCUCCGCCGAAUGACCAAGGGUUCCAGGGUCAAGCUAAUCUGCCCUGGGUAAGUCGGGACCUAAGGCGAGGCCGACAGGCGUAGUCGAUGGACAACGGGUUGAUAUUCCCGUACCCGCAAUAGCGCGACCAUGCUGAACCCGGUAAUGCUAAGCGCCUGACGCCUGUGAGGACUUCGGUCCAAGCCGGCUGAGCGCGCGACCCGAACCGGUAGUAGGCAAGCGAUGGGGUGACGCAGAAAGGUAGUCCAGCCCGGGCGAUGGUAGUCCCGGGGUAAGGAUGUAGGGGGAGACGUAGGUAAAUCCGCGUCUCACAUACCCUGAGAUCCAAUGCCGAUGGCGAUUGCGCCUAAGUGGACGAUCCUCAGCUGCCGAGAAAAGCCUCUAGCGAGCUCUAUUGCGGCCCGUACCCCAAACCGACUCAGGUGGUCAGGUAGAGAAUACCAAGGCGAUCGGGCGAACCGUGGUGAAGGAACUCGGCAAAUUACCUCCGUAACUUUGGGAUAAGGAGGGCCGAGGAGUGUGUAGGGGUUUACCCCCGAAGCAUCCUUCGGCCGCAGAGACCAGGGAGAAGCGACUGUUUACUAAAAACACAGGUCCGUGCGAAGUUGCAAAACGAUGUAUACGGACUGACGCCUGCCCGGUGCUGGAACGUUAAGGGGACGGGUUAGUGGCCUUGUGCUGCGAAGCUCAGAACUUAAGCGCCAGUAAACGGCGGUGGUAACUAUAACCAUCCUAAGGUAGCGAAAUUCCUUGUCGGGUAAGUUCCGACCUGCACGAAUGGCGUAACGACUUCUCCGCUGUCUCCACCGCGGACCCGGUGAAAUUGCACUACGAGUGAAGAUGCUCGUUACACGCGGCAGGACGGAAAGACCCCGGGACCUUUACUAUAGCUUGGUAUUGGUGUUCGGUACGGCUUGUGUAGGAUAGGUGGGAGACUGUGAACCUCGGACGCCAGUUCGAGGGGAGUCAACGUUGAAAUACCACUCUGGUCGUUCUGGAUAUCUAACCUAGGUCCGUAAUCCGGAUCAGGGACAGUGCCUGGUGGGUAGUUUAACUGGGGCGGUUGCCUCCUAAAAUGUAACGGAGGCGCUCAAAGGUUCCCUCAGCCUGGUUGGCAAUCAGGUGGCGAGUGCAAGUGCACAAGGGAGCUUGACUGUGAGACAGACAUGUCGAGCAGGGACGAAAGUCGGAACUAGUGAUCCGGCGGUGGCAUGUGGAAGCGCCGUCGCUCAACGGAUAAAAGGUACCCCGGGGAUAACAGGCUGAUCUUCCCCAAGAGUCCAUAUCGACGGGAUGGUUUGGCACCUCGAUGUCGGCUCGUCGCAUCCUGGGGCUGGAGUAGGUCCCAAGGGUUGGGCUGUUCGCCCAUUAAAGCGGUACGCGAGCUGGGUUUAGAACGUCGUGAGACAGUUCGGUCCCUAUCCGCCGCGCGCGUAGGAAACUUGAGAAGGGCUGUCCCUAGUACGAGAGGACCGGGACGGACGAACCUCUAGUGUGCCAGUUGUCCUGCCAAGGGCACGGCUGGUUGGCCACGUUCGGAAGAGAUAACCGCUGAAAGCAUCUAAGCGGGAAGCUCGCUUCAAGAUGAGGUUUCCCACAGGGUUAACCUGGUAAGGCCCCCAGAAGAUGACUGGGUUGAUAGGCCGGAGGUGUAAGUGCGGCAACGCAUGUAGCCGACCGGUACUAAUAGGCCGAGGGCUUGACCAC